AGCGCCGAGCGCUUGUUUAUGUGCAGGAAAUGCACCAGGAAAGGCGGGAGGCGAAAGGCGCUGGAGGUGCCACGAGGCCAGGAAGAGCGCCACAAUUAACCAGACUUGGUCUUUUGCCUGUCUGCGGAGCACGCCCUCCGUCGCCAUUCCCCAAUCUCUUCCAGAACUUCCCCCAAUAAACGUUUAGGGGUGAAUGACUUACAACAGGACGAUGAUGGCACGCGCAAGAAGGCGCAUUACAAGGGGGAAUACUUUCUGUGCUUUUCUUGGCUGUCGACCGUACUCGUACUCACUUUAAAUGGCGAUCCCGAUGCCACACGGCCAACUGAAGAUACUGUCCGGCGGUCUCCUCGCCACUGGAAAUCUGGAAGUUGAAGCGCUGAUCGAAGUACGGGCGACCCGAGUGCCGAUGGACGGCGGUGCGUUGGUACCCGGAACUCAUGCUUCCCCCCGACGAGUGGCCACCGUAUCCGUGUGGCUGGGCUCCUCCGGACAAGGCCACCUUGACGUAGGCGUUGAUGCUGCCGUUUCCACUGCCAUGGGAGCGCUGCAAGUCGCGACAGCGAAUCACUGCAAUGGAGAAGGACGGGGUGGACAGGUGUAAUUAACAGAUUCUGAACACCAGGCGAGCAGAAGUUUCAAUAGGUAGCAACAGCUUACCAAGAUACAACGAAGACCAUAUUAAGCAGUAAUGGAAUAUAAUUAUUUUCGAUAAUUUAUUAUAAUUGAUUCCUUAGGGCUAUGAAAAAAAUUCACUUACAAGUUAAACAUUACUGGCUAGCUGGGACUACUACAACUAUAGAUGAUUCCAUUGAUAGUUAACUGGUGAGAUUGCGAGAUGCACUACAGCUAAUACAUUUUCCAAAUAUAACGUAUACUCCAAGGACUUAAAGUACUUAAAUGCGAGUGUGUAAAAAAAAGAAAGUUGAGCCCCCUAAACUAUUCACAGAUAAGCUGACCCAAAAACAGGACAUACGAUUCGGAUCCUCGCGUUCAACGCAUCAAGAGAGGAGUGGACCUUUAGGCGGUGGUUACUUUGGCGGAGGUGAAGGCGGCCAGCUGGGCCUUGAGUGCGUCGAUCUGGCACAAGAGCUCGAUGUUCUGGCGCUCCAGAUAGGCGGCCCUGAUGGCGAUCUCAUCCUCCUUGAUGCGGCGGCGAUCGCGGGACUUCUUGGCGGCAGCGUUGUUCUUGCGACGCCUCUCGUAGUAGGCGGCAUCCUUAACCUGGCUGCCCGAGCUGAUACCGGAGUUCGCUGCAGUAGCGUUAGCCAAGUUGCUGGAGCUGCUGGUGGCGGACUUGCCCUCGAAGUUGCCCGCCUGAGAGUCGCAGUCGCUUGACUCCUCCGCAGCAGCGCGAUCCUCGCUUUCGCUGUUGUUGUUUGAGGAGCUGCCUUCGUUGACGGAUCCACUUCUUGAGUUGGUCCUUCGCAUUUUUGGGUUGGUUACGGUGCGCGAUCCUCCAUUGGAGCUGCGGAUUUGCUCAAGCACUCGCUUCCGGUAUUCCGUGUAGCGCUCCACUCGCGGAUUGUCCAGAAGGACAUCAGUGGCUGCGAAAUUGGCAGCUAUGACCAAGGGAUCCCGGGGAAAGGCCUUGAAGGGACGGGUGUUCUUUCCCGCCUCGCCGCUACUGGAGGUGGUGGGCGUGGUGGCCUCAACAGCCGGGGACUGGGGAUUCUCCAGAACGUCUAUCUGCAUUGUGCUGGCGUUGCUGGCGGGUCUUGGUGAGUUGGUCGAAGAAGCGGCAGCAGCAGCGGCGGCCGCAGCAGAGGCGGCAGCAAAGGUUUGCAGAAGGUUGGCGGUUGGUGUGACCUUGGGCGGAGCAGCAGUGGGCGUGGCUUGCUCCUGCUUGAUGUUGCUGUAGUAAAAAGCGGGAUACAGGGAGGCCAAUUGUUGCUGCUGCUGCUGUUGCUGCUGAUGCUGCUGCUGUUGCAUUUGGGCCGCAUACAGAAGAUUGCUGGUGGGCGAGGCCGAGGGGGAACCACUGCCGUAGCUGUAGCUUGUUUGAUACGGCGAGGGAGUCUUCCUGGGCGUCUCUACGCUGUCACAUCGACGGGAAAGAUCCAGGACCUCUGCAGAGGAGGUAUGCUGCUGCUGCAGCUGCUGAUGUUGCUGCUGCUGCUGCUGUUGUUGCUGCUGACUGAGGGCAGCUCCCAGCAACUGCUGCUGGUAGGCGUAGGCCGUGUACAGAUCCAUUUUGGGCAGGCCCAAGGAUCCCUGAACCGGCAAUUGGCUGUGCGGCAAGUGGUGCAGUGGCUGCUGCUGGUGGUGCUGGUACUGGUGGUGGUGCAUGAGGGGCUUGCGAUCUGCGGAGAUUGAGAGAGAGGGGAUUUGUUAGUUUACGGAUCGAGGAGAGUCCAAGGGGCGUGGCCAACUUACCAGUCUUGAGAUCGAAGAACUGCCCGGCCAUGAGUUUCUCGUGCAUUAGCAUGGUGUUCGGUGUAUGGUCUCUGGGUUUAAUCCAACUGAUUGACGCUAUAUAGACUGGUGAUCUAGCUCUGAUAUUGCUAUAUCUUCACGCUGACGAUGUCGAACGCAAACUGAUUUCCUCUCGUCGGAACCCCCUGCAUUUAUACCGAAAAUCCGGAGGCUGCGCCGACGCCUCAUUCACAUCGAAAUGGCGGACACGAGCGGCCAGCCGAAGCGGUACGAAGCAGGUAGGCGGUACAAAGGCCAAAGGGCAAAGGGGUGAUUCUGGCUCUGCUUCUGACUCUGUCCCACUCUGCCCUGUUGCCCUCUCUGUCUCGCCGCAUUCGAAAGGGUUUUACAAGGGUGCGGCUGCCCUUUCCCUCAUUUGGUUUUCGCAGUUUUCGCAAAAAUCAUAGUUCUUUGUGCUAUUGUUAGUUCGCCAUUUAACGUAAUUUAAAAAAAAAAAGUACAAAGAGUUUUCGAACUUUAUGUUUCAUCAGUUUCCGCGAAAGGAUAUGGUUUUUUCUUGGUUUUAAUAUUCAAUGGGAAAAAAUAGGAAAAUUCGUACUACCUUUGCAGUGCUUUACAUUUCGUUUUCAUGGAAUUGGCUAAAAAUAUUUAUAAUCAAUGUAGAGUUUUAAACUUCGGCUUUAUUUUCACAGGCGUUCAUUGCGAAGUUAUAAGUUUGUGGAAACCUAACUUACUUGCUUUGAUAUCUAAAUGAUAAAGCCCUUACCCAAAAACCAACCUGAAAAAUCUUUAGUUACUAAGUCUUUAGAUUUAAGUAACUGCUGAAAAUGUUUCUUAUGUUGUUUAAAGAAUAAACCGCAAUUAAACAUCGUAGGCUAUUCUCUUCUGCAGUGAAAUAAACCAUAAGCAUGCUUCUGAAUCUUCCAGAACGUUUCGCAUAUCAAAGACCCCCUGGCCGUAGUAUAUUAUAAUUACAGUCAAAUCUUACUUUUCCGGCCAGAAAGAGAGGCAUCUGGUCAAAGGAAAGAGAUGGAAUCUGAUUUGUUGAUAAUAGAUGCACAACAUCCAAGGGUUGUGAUGGCUAAAUCCGUUUGUUUUGCGCUUUUGUCCCGAAAUCCUUUUGCUGACCAGCCCAUCUAGAAUCUGUGUAUCUAUGCGAUGGCGAAUUCGUUGGUUUGUGCGUGACAAAUUAUGGAAAUUAGGCCGAGUUCUGGCGUUCUUGCAAUUUUCAGCCCUUUUCGGCUGGCGUAAUUCGCAUCCUUUUCCUAUUUCGGCAAUGAAAACUCGGCUUCCCGGAAUCUCGACAAGGACACUCGCCAGUCUGCCCAUUUGAUUCAUGACGCCGCCAGCCCAAGGAUCGAGAAUCGAGAGUCCAGGAUCAUUGCGACAAGUGUCCGCCAGUGUUGACUGCUCGUGUUUGCCCUCCUCCUUAAACAUCCUUGAUUCUACGUCCUUUAUCCCUUUGGCUUCCGCUGCGGCGUGGGAUGUGGGAUCCUCGACAAGUUGUUUCACUUUGUUAACUGUUUGUCCUAACGGUCGCCUCGACGGCCAACGGAAGUCGGUAGCGGUACAAUGUUGGCUGUCAUCCAUGGGAAAUGUUAUUCCAGCAUAACUUACUGCAGCUACUUCGAGGACAUGACAGUCAGUGUGUCCAAAUAUGUAGUUUAGAUUUGUUACGCAGAAAUGAUAUCAAAUCCUAUUAACAAUACGCUGAUCAGAUUUCCAUAUCCCCUCGCUAACUUUCAUUCAUUCUCUUUUUACGACUUCCCAUUCAGUGGGAUUGGGUGGAUUGCAAAUAAAAAGAGGGAUCGAUAUGGUAAUCAGUAAAAAACCGCGAACUUAUCCGCUAAUCCGUGCGCUAAUCCAACCGUAAAAAUGGUGGAUUAAACUAAAACUCGGACGGUCACGUCGCCGUCAUUGAGUCGAUCCCUUACCUGCGGUUCCCGGGCCCGAGCCCUUCCAGAUCCUGGACAUACGUAUAACCCAGCCCAAUCGAUCCCGAGCAGAUGCCAUAAAAAGUCGCGGCCGAAGUCGAAGCCAAAGAGUUGCCAAGUUCGGUGUAAAAACCAGAUUCAGCGAAAAAAACUUAAAAAACAGCAGGCCAUAAAACCAUAUAUUCAUAUACUCGGACUGCUGUUGCUUCGCCAUAAUGAGCUCCGAACCAAAGAUGCAAUAUUUGUGCAAUCCUUUGAGUGGUGACCUUGGGCGCGUUUUUUACGGAAUCAUCUACCUGAUGCCCGAACGGGUUGCCCACCCACAAUAUGCGCUGUAUUAGGCUGUUAUGCUGUUGCCUAAAAAACAUCCAGAGUUUUAUUGCAUAAUGGACGCUUCGUGCGAAAAGGCCUCAUUUCGAGUCUGCGGACCCUAAAACCGCUGCUGUUUUUUAAGGAGCCAUAAACUGACAUUUCAGACAUCGGCUGUCCUUAAAAAAAAAGGGUUCUCUCCUCCGCCCAUUGUGGCUGCGAUUUUUAUAUUGGUCCGCUGCUAGGUGACAAAGAAAAUCAGCGACUAAUUGACUGAAAGGGGUUUUGCCUUAUAUGACCCGUCCCACCCGUCCAAAAAAGGGUGAGGAGUGGUUUGGAUUUGGAUUCGUGCUUGGUUUCGGGGAAUUGCCGUUAACUCCUUUCGCGGCCCUUUGUCUUAAUGGGUUAACAGUCGCAUAUUGGAAGCCUUAGCUUCAAAUGGCCCCUGUCGUAAACGUAAGUUGAAAGCAACUUAUCGCAUAUUAGGACUGCCAUUUUGUUUCUGAGAAACUGUAUUCCCGCUUUUUAUCCGUAAAAAAAACCCCUAGUUUGGGAUAAGCAAAGAGCAGCGCUCUCCUCCGCAUUUUCAUCUCGAUGUGAUGGUAAGUUACUGCUAAUAAAUUAUCUUUUUGAUAUCAUCAAAUAUAUUUCACUAAUGCAGCGCUAUUUGAAAGAGUCGUGCUUCGUUCAUUCUUCCAACUUCCUCCAAAAGGAACUCCUUGAAAGGCCGUUCCUGAGCACAAUUGAUGAAAUGAGAUUACUUUCAAAUGUAUGAUUAGUUUGGCCGUCAUUCAGUUGAUUCUCAGCCACGAUGGCCGCCUAAGCCCAUCAGGAAAGGCACUUGGGCCCGUCCAUAUCCCUAUAUCCUGCGAUGCUAAUGAGGAAGUAAGUAGUCGGCCGGCAAGGAAGUGAACGGGGAUUACACGUGCUCCUCGGGCGGACAAAGGCCCUCUCCUCUCGCAGCAGAGUGUUUGGGCUAAGCGAAAAAGACUAACCAGGAUCGAGAGUCGGGAAUCGAGGACCUAGGAUCACUUGUUUGUUUUCCUUGGCAUAUGCAAAGUGCACACUUGCAGAGGAUAAUGGGAACAGGUAUUGCUCGGCUCGAUGUGUCUGGGGAUUUGCCUUAGCCACUUCCGCAAACGGAAGUGCACAGCUCGGCAAAAAGAACCCCGACUAAAAAAGACACAAGUUAAGUACUGGAAGGGAACCCACAAUGGCCAUAGCUUCCGUCGUCAAAUCCUUUGGCUAAUUGUUAUCCUAUGGCUCCUAAUCCCACGUCCAGCAAAAGGCUGCUCAAUUAUGGCAUCUCUUUAAUUGAGAGACGUCGAGCCGCUCCGAAUAGAGCCUUCCUUCAUUCACCGCUGACCAGCCGAGCGAAAAGAUCUCGAGCAGAUCUCAAGUCCGGAAUAUGAAAUCCGGAUCCCAAAUCCCAAGGCAGUAUUGCAUUACUAUGCCAAUUAGUGCGGUUUUGAUUACCCAAAUGACAUUUGCCUCGCAGGCCCGCAAUGCUUUGGAGUCCUCUUAUCUGCCGAGCGAGUUGCAUCUUCCAAAUUGGGGCGACAGCGCGUCUAUCGUAUUACUAUCUUAUGUUUGCACCGGCCAAACAUCCCAGCAACUCAAUGAACUUUGAAUGAUGGACUGCGCUGAGCUGCGAAUGCCCAAUAUUGAAAUUGUGCGCGAUAAGUUCAAGGUUCUGACUCAAGAUUGGGCCGAUCGAUCGAACGAUCGAUCGAUUGAUCGAUGGGGAGACCCCACACGGGAAAAGUGCCAUUUAAUGCUCGUCAAAUCGACGCACAAAGAGCUCGGUGUCCAGAGUGCUAUUUAAAUGGGCAAAACUAACUUGCUACUUCCUUACGCCAUCAUUGUGCCUGUUGUCCUGUUGUCCCGUUGUCAGGACCCCAGGAAGAUGUCCAGGAGACAGGGGAGGGGUGUGUCCGUGUCCACGCCCAUCGCCAUAGUCAGAGGAAAAUGAGAAUGCUCGGGUUGGGAAAAUACUGAAAAAGUCGCACACACAAGACGAGCAAGAGAAAGGAAUCCAAAGAAAGCAACAUUUCACGCAUGAUUUCCGAGUGGGAGAUCUCUGCUCCUACAGCUACACUGCGAUCAUCUGGAAGGACCAAUAUCUGAACAUUAAUACUUAAGUGAGCAAGUUUCGCCAAACCCCUUUUCCAGUGCACCAGUCACUGCUGCUGAGCAGCGAUUGCAGGGUAUUUGCCAUCGCUGAUGGCACAUUCAUUUUGCAUGCUUCAUUCGUUUUGAUGAACUGUCAACGUUUUGGGCCAUUGUUCCAACUCGGAGCUCUGUGAUCGGUAUCUAUUUGGGUGAGAACCGCUCGCGGUACAGUUAUGUGCGGAUAGUGUGAAACAAUUCUAAUAGCCGGCGCAAAGACCCUUAUUCCCGAUAAUGCCCUUUCAAUGCUCACUUAAUUUUAUGCAUUUUACUGUUGAUUAGCUGCCAUCAGCCACGACGCCCAUUGUCAGCGGCCGAGCACCGUUAGGGGUUUUUCCGGAGUUAAUCAAACCGCCGGUCGAAGAGCCCACAUAAAAAGAGUUACGAUCCGCCCCCGGCCAUCGGGGUGUCGAGCCCACUCGAUCUAUCAAGCGGCCCUUGAAAUUUUCACACCUUUUUGCGGGAGUGUCCUUGCUGCUGCACUCCUUUUUGUCCUUUUGCCAUUGUUCAACUGCAAGCCAAAGCCGCCUACGAAACCCCGUUAGAAUGGCUACUGUUAGCCCCCUUCCUCUCGAGAAGCGAAUUCAAAAUUCCAGAUCCCAGAUCACAUUGUUGGCCAGGACAAUUGCUGUCAAAAUGGCAUUGCAGCGGUUUGCGGAUUUGGCCGUCCUGGUAAUUGUGUCAAUUGUCAGUUCGCACCAUCUCCUAACUGCCAUCAGCAUAUAAAGCAUAUCCAUCCAGCACGAUCUCCACCGGAACGGAUGCGCUGCCCAGAUACAAUCGGGAUCGGCAGAUCGGGACCGGGCGAGAACGGUAGAUCGAGGAAAUCCUGGAACAGAGAACGGAACUGAACCGAACGGAACUGAACGGUCCUAAGCCUCAUUCCGCAUAACUCUUUUUCAUAGAGUGACUCCUGGCCAGCUCGUAAUAUGAGCAUUUAACACCGUAAAGUCUUCGACCCGGCCACGCCCAUUGUAUCCGAGUUCCGUUCCGUUCUGUUCUCAUCUCCUUUGAGAACCACAGUUGCCUUUUGCCUCGAGUUUUUUCACAUGAAACUAAAAACGACUGAAAUCCAUGAGAUUAAACGGUCUUUAAGCGGUUUAAGCCCUUUGUGCACGCAGUUUCGUAGGUGGCAAAAUGUGCCAUUGUCACCGAGUUCUGCCAAAAAUAUGAACUAGCAUAUCAUUUCAUAAUUUUCAGUUUCAUCUUUAAAAGUGCAUUUUUUGCUUCUCGGAAGGAAUACACAAAUAUUGUUGGAAGCUCAGUGGGCCGGAGGGUUCCGGGUGAUCCGACAGGUGACCAGGUACAGCUCUCUCGAUCCUCCAAUCCUCCAUGCUAAUCCUGACUAUCUGGCUGCCUCAAGUUAAUCUCGCAUAAUAUUGCGUCUUCCGAACAGCGUAAUCCCCUGAAAACAAGUGUCCAGAUCCGCAGCUCUCCACUUUUAAGCCGGCAAUGGAUUGCAGAUGACUUGACUAACUGUCGAGCUAGGCUCAACGAACAGAUUUCUCUGAGCCUGGUCGCAACAGUAAUACGUUUGACGUAACGCAGGGGAAUUAAAAAGGUCGAACGAUGUGGCUAAAAACUGGCAAGUAAGGAGCUGGAGUUAAGCAAGCUAAGCUUGGCAAGGCUAUUCUCACUAUAUCGCUUAUUUCUUACUGAUGGGACAGUUUAUACCAUAUUUCAAAUUAAACCAUUCCCUAGAUCACUGAAACUUCAGUCAGGAACUGCAAUUAAUCUUCUUCACCUCUAACUUUCCUAACUUUCCCCACAGUUUGUAGAACUUGUCUCAAGGUCGCAUACUCCAAAGAUCGAACUGAGGCCCAGUUCCAUCGCCAUGUUACGUUGCAUCCUCCAUUGCCAGGGAUUGCGCCAUUUUGGCGUUUAUUAUCGAGGUCCUGCUACGAAAUCGAAGACUCUGCCGAACUCCGGGCCACGCAAUAAAGUAGAGCUCAAAGGCUCGGCCAAUCAGAGGCAGAAACCACAGCUGGAGGGGAUUUCGAAAAACCACCACCACAGCGACUUCAUUUUGUGCGUCUGGUGGGAAACUGGUUCUCUGGGCAAUGAAUCCCCGCAACUUCAUUAAAGCCAGGAGAUAUAGGACCGCAUUUAGGGAGUUGGGGGAAGCGGUGAAGAUGGAGGUGGAGGUGGGGGUGGAGAUGGAGAUGGACGUGCAGGGAGUGGGUGACGGAUCCAGAGAUCCAGGGCUUAGGGAAAAUGUGACAGCUGUGCCAGCUGACCCAGUCCAUUGUCCGAUGUCCAUUGUGUCCAUCCGGAGGCGAGGGAGUCUCCUGCAUUUAAUAAAUAAAUAGCAGGCGACAGACAGACACACAGAGAGACAGCAUCGGGGGCAUUUUCAUUAGGGCAAAUGAAAGGGUUCUGCCUCGGCGUGGUUCGGCUCGGGAAAGCCCUUUUCCGACUUUCCCGGGCGGUUGCUUAAUGAUAACAAAACCGGAUGGCGUUGGCUUGAUUACAAGUGGUCGCUCGCUGGCAAUUUUGCGGGUCGCUCGAAAUGCUGACCGCCGCUGUGGUCACUUUUGGCAAUUUCCUACAAUUGUUGGCUCAACCCCUCCUGCGUUUCUGGGGCGCAGCAGGGUGGACGUGGAUGUCUGGAGUUUGGGGUGGGGUGGAAGUUUGGGGAACGAACACCCCAUCAAUUCGUCGCGCUGUGACACAUUUAUGGGGAGUCUGUGGAGUUAGUGGCUGGCUCGAAAUUAGGUUUCAUGCCCCCACUCCCGGCUAAAUCGAUGCGGUGACCACCUGCCCCUCGCCGUGGCUGAAAACCCUGUCAUUGAUACUGAAACUGUUUUGUCAAUACAAUCGGGGGAAACUCGAGAAGACUUUUGCUGUGGCGCAGCAACAUUAUAAGAUUAUCUGGUCAGGCAACCUCAAAUUUGUGGCCAGACAAGUGGAAACGAUGCGAAGAAAGCAGAUCACUUCCUGUCUUACCCUUCGCCGAUUAUCUUUUUGUCGUGAUCGAGGUCUGUUUGCCAAAUAGACAAAUAGUGCGAUCAGCGGAGCGUGGAAAGAGUUCCUCUCCCUGGGAACUGACCCGCUGUCCCCCGGAAUCCUUUUCUCUACCAGACCAUAUAUAAAUAUACAUCGCGUUUAUUGUCUCGACUGUCAGCGCAGACCAUUAGCCAGGGUUUUCCAACAAUCCGCCGGACACAAUGGAGGAUCACUCACAUAUGCCACGCCAUCUUAGCACUCUAAGCGCUGAACUCCUAACUCCUAAUGAUCUACGGUUCCGGUCGACCCUUGGAUACCCCUUGCAUACAAUUUGCCACAAGUUGCCGUGAUUAAUUAACUUGAAUGGCAAUGGCAUUGGCAUUUGCAUUUCCAUUACCAUUGCCAAGGCUCAUGUUGCGUUCUUGUUCGGAUUGCACGAGUAAUUUGAGGCGCUCAAUUUUUCGACGCAUAAUUAGGAGCGGACUGGGAACUGAGGACCGCUGGCUGCGGAAUUGUUUCGGUGCACGAGCCACACGACUUUCUUCACUAAUUGUUAGCUGGAACGCUUCAAAGGAACUGCGGGAAAGAAAGUUCCUCGACAAACAGCCUCCUGCCACGAAGCCCGGACUUGAUCCUUUCCCUUGGAGUGUGGCAAACGAAUCGAUUCUGGGUUAUGCUCUGGGUGCAGCAAUUAGUUCGAAUUUGCUGGGUCUCCGCUCAGAUGCUGAAUUGGAGAUCAUUGGACUUCAUUCGGAGUGCUGCUGCAGCUUUCCAGUGGUCAGAUCGCGUGGCAGUCAGCAACCCACUGACUGCUUGGGGUAAUUGUGGAGUGAGUGGGAAUAGAGAUCGAGAUACGAUGCUCCAAGUAGUGGCUGCCCAGCUGGCUGCUGGCCACAUCCCGAAGGAAAUGCUGUCACAGAAUCCGAGCAUUGAAGACCAACACGAGCCAUCGAGCGACAGUUCGCCUCCCAUUGUUGGUUAAUUUAUCAAAGAUGCAAAAAGAGCCAACUCACGCUUAAGUGGAAGGCUGCCUAAUGAGCGUGUUCAGUGGUCUUUUUUCGGUGUUUGGUGUUCAAUGCUCAAUGACCAAAGUCCGAUGCCCAGUGCCCAGUGUGGUCAGCAGCUGGAAAAAAGGAACACAUGUGGCUCAUGCCCCUGGCUAGUGAAAGGAUUCGACUUUGGACUCUGGGCUCUGGAUCCUGGACUCUCGAUUCUGGAUUCUGGAUUCUGCACUGGGAACAUGACGGAGUAAACACACGCCGCACAUCCUCAUUAAUCUCGAGGGGGCGUAGACCGAAUGGGAUCGGAGUUCGGACUGCGGCCGGAGGAUCGAAGUUGCUCUGGCUCUAAUCCCGCCGCACACAACAUAUUGCAACUUUAUGUCGGGGAAACGCGAUUCGAAAUCCAUUUCGAUGGCUUGACUUGCGUUUUGUUUUUCCAGCGUCAAUGGCGAGUUAUUUUGGCCUUCCAGCCCCGGACUGGAAUCCAACGAAAAUAUAAUAAGUGGGCACGUGUUUCUGCCUGGUCCACAGGGCAUACAAACUAUUUGUUUUUCUACGGCCAACAGGCCCUUGGGCCUCGUCUGGGGUUUGUUUUUACGCAUAAAUAUUUGUUUAUAUUUGCCUAAGCACAGAGUUUGUGUCGUCUUCUAGGGAACGCACACACCACAGCCAGGAACGCAGUUCGAGGAGUCGCAGGAUCCUUGUCCAGGCGCCAAUCGAGCACCUCUUAAGCCUUUACAGCUGCCCAACGGAAGUGAAGUGAAGGAGUUGCUCAAAGUGGCCUCACGUUCGCCGAGGUCAAUGGGUGUGUUUUCGAAGUCCACAUUUAGGAAGUCUGUCUCUAGUUCCCCCGGACACCAGAUACAUACAUAGGAAAGGCUUGUAAGCCUGGUAAAUUAUGAAUUAUCAAUUGAACUAAACAGAUUUCCCUUCUUUCUGCAGGCACACAACUUUGAGCCCCUUUUUUACAGGCGCACACAAAAGUGUGUGGAUAAAGUUUUGGCCUAAGUGAGAGAAAAAAACUCAUUAUGAGUUGCAUAAGGCUCAUAAUUGAUCGGCAAAUGGGCCGACGAGCUGGUGGAACUGAUGGCCAAGACGCACCAUAGUGCAGGGUCCACGCUCUGGAUUAGACCAAUUUUAAGGAGAAUUGCUCUCUGCACGGUUCACACAUAUCUGAUCUGCCCUGCCCUGCUCUGAAUUGCAGGACGUUAGACUCUGGGCCGAGAAUUUUGAGCCGUGGGCGUGUGCGGGCCAUGGAUUUCACACACCGAUCUCAGGAGGAUCCUGGAACAAUCCCUUGCAGCAUGACGAAAGGUAAAUUUGUAAACAAUUGUGCUAAUUAAGCCAGCCCAAUAAAAAUCGGCUCACGAAGGCUUGAGAGGCUCGAGCGACCUGAGAGCCCUGGGCGGAUGGCCGAGUGGCCUGAGAUCUCCCGGGGAGAUCCAGGCGAGCACUUGAACUAAAUCCGGUAGCUUAAACGAGUUAAAGGAACUUGAACGGAACUUAAUCCCAUAAAUUUGGGAAAAAUACAAUUUUAAUCAGGUUAAUUCGUGUGUAGCGCGACUGUUGCAUGGUUUCGGGAUCUGGGCCACGGGAUCAGGGGCCAGGUAGUCGGUCGAGCGAAAGGAUUAGGCCUCUGGAUCUCGGGGAUUUAGCGCAAACAGAGAUUACGAGCGAACGAGGAGAGGAGAUCGCGGAUCGGGAACGGGAUCGGUAUCGGGAUCAGUCCACAGUCCACCAGAUUAGGCCACUCCGCUCGUAUAUUGCCAAAUAAUGGUCGAGUUCCAGGGGCCGCCACUUCGAUU